AGAGUUUGAUCCUGGCUCAGGACGAACGCUGGCGGCGUGCUUAACACAUGCAAGUCAAGGGGAAAGUUUUCUUCGGAAGAUUGUAAACUGGCGAACGGGUGAGUAACGCGUAGGUAACCUACCCUUAAGCUCGGGAUAACCCACCGAAAGGUGAGCUAAUACCGGAUAAUAUCUUUCCUCAUAAGGGGUAAAGAUCAAAAGUUAAAAGAUUUAUCGCUGAGGGAUGGGUCUGCGUACCAUUAGCUAGUUGGUAGGGUAAAGGCCUACCAAGGCAUCGAUGGUUAGCGGGUCUGAGAGGAUGAUCCGCCACACUGGAACUGAGACACGGUCCAGACUCCUACGGGAGGCAGCAGUGGGGAAUUUUGCGCAAUGGACGAAAGUCUGACGCAGCAAUACCGCGUGAGUGAAGAAGGCCCUUGGGUCGUAAAGCUCUUUGUAUCGGGGAAGAUAAUGACGGUACCCAUCGGGGAAGAUAAUGACGGUACCCGAUGAAUAAGCACCGGCUAACUCCGUGCCAGCAGCCGCGGUAAUACGGAGGGUGCAAGCGUUGUUCGGAUUUACUGGGCGUAAAGGGCGCGUAGGCGGUCAGAUAAGUUAAGGGUGAAAUCCCGGGGCUCAACCCCGGAACUGCUCUUAAAACUGUCUGACUAGAGACAGAUAGAGGUGAGUGGAAUUCCUGGUGUAGAGGUGAAAUUCGUAGAUAUCAGGAGGAACACCGGUGGCGAAGGCGGCCUGCUGGGCAUGUUCUGACGCUAAGGCGCGAAAGCGUGGGGAGCAAACGGGAUUAGAUACCCCGGUAGUCCACGCCGUAAACGAUGAAUACCAGCUGUUCGGGAAAUCGACCUCUCGAGUGGCGCAGCUAACGCGUUGAGUAUUCCGCCUGGGGAGUACGGUCGCAAGACUAAAACUCAAAGGAAUUGACGGGGGCCCGCACAAGCGGUGGAGCAUGUGGUUUAAUUCGACGCAACGCGAAGAACCUUACCUGGGUUUGACAUCCUUGGACCGUCCUGGAGACAGGAUUUUCUCUUCGGAGACCAAGUGACAGGUGCUGCAUGGCUGUCGUCAGCUCGUGUCGUGAGAUGUUGGGUUAAGUCCCGCAACGAGCGCAACCCUUGUCCUUAGUUGCCAGCACGUAAUGGUGGGAACUCUAAGGAGACUGCCGGUGUUAAGCCGGAGGAAGGUGGGGAUGACGUCAAGUCCUCAUGGCCUUUAUAUCCAGGGCUACACACGUGCUACAAUGGCAUCUACAAAGAGCAGCUAAGCCGCGAGGCCAUGCGAAUCUCAAAAAAGGUGUCUCAGUUCGGAUUACAGUCUGCAACUCGACUGUAUGAAGUUGGAAUCGCUAGUAAUCGUAGAUCAGCAUGCUACGGUGAAUACGUUCCCGGGCCUUGUACACACCGCCCGUCACACCAUGGGAGUUGACAUUGGCAGAAUACAUUGAGCUAACCUUCGGGAAGCAGGUGUGCAAGCUAGUGUUGAUGACUGGGGUGAAGUCGGAACAAGGUAGCC
rnacentral:rRNA from 1 species